rnacentral:rRNA from 1 species
UACAGAGGUCUCAAGCGUUGUUCGGAUUCAUUGGGCGUAAAGGGUGCGUAGGCGGCGCGGUAAGUCGGGUGUGAAAUCUCGGAGCUUAACUCCGAAAACUGCAUUCGAUACUGCCGUGCUUGAGGACUGGAGAGGAGACUGGAAUUUACGGUGUAGCGGUGAAAUGCGUAGAUAUCGUAAGGAAGACCAGUGGCGAAGGCGGGUCUCUGGACAGUUCCUGACGCUGAGGCACGAAGGUCAGGGGGAGCAAAACGGG